GCGUGAGGUAAAGGCUAACGGGCUGAGUGGCUUUUGAGAAAUCUAAGAAGAGGGGAAUACAGAAAUCCGUCGGAUGUGUUUCUCGCCGUCCACGUACGAGCGCUACAAUGAACGGAUGCGAUGCGGUCAUCCGGAGAUAGACCGGUUGAAACUGGACCAUCACCCGUGUUGAUCGUUUCAAAAAGCCCUUGGACAACUGAUCCAAAGCAUCAAUUAAGGAUUAGCAUUUUUAAAAAAAUCCAGGAGUAGCAUACAGCAUAUACUAGGGUGAUGUCCAAGUCCAGCCAAUUUCCCUCAUGUCAUAAAGUAAGAAGUUCCUUUCCUAGCUAUUUCAUCCUGAGGGUAUAUGCUCUUGAUCUAUGUAAGUGUAAAUGAUCUUCUAUGUUAACCAUGUAUACUGCUGCUAUAUACCUUCUAUGUUC
rnacentral:lncRNA from 1 species